rnacentral:lncRNA from 1 species
CUCAUUACAGAUGGUUGUGAGCCACCAUGUGGUUGCUGGGAAUUGAACUCAGGAUCUCUGGAAGAGCAGUCAGUGCUCUUAACUGCUGAGCAAUCUCUCCAGCUCCUGUAAUCUUCUCUUUAAAAGUGAAGCAAAACUAAACAAGAUAAAAUUAGAAAAUAGAUAUUUAUUAUAAAAGUAAUUGUGUUGUAAACAAAUUAUAUGAUGAAUAUUUUAUUAUUUUGAUUGUUAUUAUGGGAUAUUAAAAUAUUUUUAAAGUUUGUUUGUAUGUGUGGUCCUAGGAUUGAUUGAUCUUAGGCUUGGCAGCAGCAAGUACUUUUAUCUGCUGAGCCAACUCACUGUUUCUUUUUUUUUAAAUUAGGUAUUUAUUUCAUUUACAUUUCCAAUGCUAUCCCAAAAGCCCCCCACACACUCCCCCACCCACUUCCCCUCCUUUUUUUUUUUUUAAGAUUUCUUUAUUAUUAUAUGUAAGUACACUGUAGCUGUCUUCAGACAUACCAGAAGAGGGCGUCAGAUCUCAUUGCGGAUGGUAGUGAGCUACUAUGUGGUUGCUGGGAAUUGAACUCAGUGCCUCUGAAAGAGCAGUCAGUGCUCUUAGCCGCUGAGCCAUCUCUCCAGCCCCCACUGUUCCUAUUAAAGUGUACUUUACUACACAGAAUAUUUUUUUAAGUGGGAUGUUACUACAUAGCCCUGACUGGCCUGGAACUUCCUGUGUAUACUAGGAUGACCUCAAUCUCCUAGAGAUUUACCUGCCUCUGUCUCCCAAGUGCCAGGAUUAAAAGCAUGAGCCACCGUACCCAGCCUUCCACACAGGAUUUUUGUUGAUGAUGUUGUUUGUUUGUUUGUUUGUUUGUUUGAGAUAGGGCUCACUAUGUAGCCUCAACUGGCCCGGAACCUGUUCUGUACAUCAGGCAGUACUCAAACUCAUAGAGGUUGUUCACUUCCGGGUUAAGCAUGUGCCUAUAUAGAAUUUUCUAAAGUUAUUUCUGGCUAACCAUGGUAGUACACUUUACUCUAUGUUCCCCUCCUCUAAAGCAACCAAAGAAACCAAAAAGAAAAUCAGUGAAUAUUGACCGCACAGCAUCAGAGCCAGGCAGUGUGAGUGGUCUCAAGUGUAAUGAUCCUGAGAGAAUGUCAGAGUGGCGCCUCCUUCAGCACAGGAAGGUCCUCUAAGGAGCUGGUACAGCGAGGACAGAGCCCGCAGAGCCGGUGCUUGGAAAACAGCCUGCUCCCUCUGUGUGAGGAGCUCUCAGGCUGGCCGAGGAGGUGGGGCUUAGUCGGAGUCUUUUCAUUUUACAAGACAUUCAGAAUGGAGGAGAAACUGGUAGCAAGGAGCUGACGGUUGAUUAUUUUUGUCAACUGAAGAAAAAUGAAGCUAAGGAUUCCUUUCCCUGCCCUGUCAUGUGGGUGCUUGUGGGAACUAGCUAGCUAGCCGCAAGGGAAGAGUGUUGCUGAUGAACACUUCCAGAACAGCAGAAAGGUGGAAAUUGUCAUCCAGUAGCUCUCUCUGUGGUAGGAGGUGGAGGUGAGAUGUUGCUCUUCUGAGAAUGGAGAAAAGGUGGGAUAAAAGGCUCAAGAACUAAUAUGAAGACAGCAGGCAUUAAGGAUGGGCUGGUGUCAGAGUUCAAAAUAAAAAUCUUCCCACUGUACAAAUGAAAAGUCACUUUUUAGUUAUUGUUCUUUCAAGACAGUGUCUCUAUGUAUGCAUGGCUGUCUUGGAACUCAGUUUGUAGACCAGGUUAGUCACAAAUUCACGAAUAUCUGCCUGCCUCUGCCUCCCAAAGUACUGGGACUAAAGCUGUAGAUACUAUAUCUAGUUAUGAAGGUCAUUUUCAAAGUAGUGGAUGACAGGGACAAACUAAGACAACCUAAGAAAGACUAGAGAGCCAAACAUGGUGACUCACCUGGUAAUCCUAGCACUUGGGAGACUGAGGCAAGAGGAUUACAUGAGGGUGAAGCCACUACUCUGGCCUAUACAGUUUCAGACCCGCCCAGAUGGAGGAUGAUAGAUGGAUCUGAAGUAGAAACUUAAAGGUUCUCUAGAAGUUAGUUGUGUUGAAUGGUGUUUUGCUGGGGCAAACAGGUGAAAGAACAUUUUGCUGAAGUGGAAACAGGUAAAAGGCUAAGACAGACUCCUGAAGGAACAUUUUGCUGAAGCAGACACAGGUGAAAAGAUGCUCUGCUAAAACAAAUAUGUAAAGGGACAUCUGAUGAAGGAUGCUUUGCUAAUGGCUCGAGCAUAGUUGAGCUGCAUUUGUUGGGACUCCAUAGAGAGAAACACUAAAAACCUUUUGGUGGUGUGCUUCAGCUUCUUCCCAUUUCCGAGGACUUGGGCUGAUUGACAGAGUGAUGUCAGCUAAGACAGACACACAUGCGACAUGAGACAUGGUGAGACAAGACCCAUAGAGAACACUUGAUGUUUGGAGGGAGUAUAAAUAGACAGUAAGGAUGGUGACAGAGGCUGAGCUUGGCUUGCUUACAUAACUAUACAAUGCUUGUUGGUCUCAUGUGUUCACUGAUCUUCCCUCGGCUGAGAGAGGCACAGCUGAGAACUUCUCUUGACAUUCCUCCUGGUGCCUCCUGCUGACUCGUUGUGAGGCUGAGGCCUGUGACUCUGCUAGGUACUGCUACUGCUGCCAAUUCAUACUUGCUAUCCUGAUUUUACUUAAUUGGACUGCUGGUGAAUUCCUGAAGUGUUUGUGAAUGGAUUGAGCUGCUGCUACUGACCUGUAAACGAAACUGCCUUUUACCAGACAGCACAGAUGGGAGUUGCUCGAAAGAAACAUAUCUAAACAGGUCGACUUUCCCCGUAUCCGUUCUUUUCCACUACUUCUAAUGGGUGGUGACUAGAAGGGAGGUUAAAGCAUUUAAGAAUCAUCAUUAAAAAUAAGCUUUAAAAAAAUUAAAGUUACAGAGACCCUAGAAAUCUAGCAGAUUAAUAAGUGAAGGUGUCAGCAGAAUAAACAAGGUAGAAAAACUUCAAAAAAGAAAAGAAAACAAAACAAAAAUGUUUUUUGAAGGUUGGAGAGAUGGCUCAGUUCAGAGCACUUGUUGUGCUUGCAGAAGACCUGAGUUCAGUUCCCAGCACCCACAUGGUGCUUCAGGUCAUAUCAACUGUAUCUCAGAUUUCAUCAGAUCUGACACCCUCUUCUGACCCCUGUGGGCAUGCUCGUGGUACACAAACAUAGAUGCUGGGGAAACAGUCAUAUACAGAAAAUAAAUAAAUCUAAAGGAAAAAAUGUUUUUUUUUUCUUGUGUCAAGGUCUUGCUCACACGUAGCAGACUGGCUCUGGCUUUUGGCAAUCCUGCUUUCCCUGGUGCUGGAAACACAGAUCUGCACUACCGCACUUGGCUAAAAAGGUUUUCAAAAGGAAGUGGGGUGUUGUGGCUCAGGCCUGUUGAUUUUUCCUUUGUGCUGUGUGCAUAUAGGUAUACACAGCCAUGUGUCUACGUUCACGUGAGUGAAUGAAGGUGCGUGCUCAUGCUCUGGGUGCAUAUGUGACCACAGGAUGACUCUGGUGGAGGUCCUUGCCUUGUGCCUAAUCGAGACGGGGUCUCUUUCUUUCUUUGUUUAUUCUUUCUUGCUGCCCUUGCUAGGGUAGCUGACUUGAGAGCUUCAAGGAGCCCUCCUGUCCCUGCCUCCCAUCUCCUGGUAGGAGUGCCGUGAUUAUUGCAUGUGGAUUUUCGUGGGUUCUGGGGAUUCAAACUCAGGUCUUCAGAUUUGUGUAGUAGGUGCUUUACCCACUGAACCCAUCUUGGCCAUGUAAAUAACUUAAAAAAAAACUUACUUACAUGUAAGAUACUUUUUAAAAAUU